GCUUCAAAAGGCAACUUUAAUUGACCAAAUUUAUUAACUAAAGAUGAACAAAGGAUCCCUGUCCUCUUGUCCUCAAGCUUGUGAUAAAUCUUACUUUGAAAGUGAGCUGCUUAAGAAAUUCCACCAGCAAAGACAACUACUGGCUCCAGCUUCCUUGGUGACACAGAUUGGUGCUCUCGUACUGUGCACCAGGCCCCGAGCUACUGUUCCAGCCAUUCUCCCAGCUUCCGAGUGCUGGCGUGUCCCUGGGUUCUCUCUGGCUCUGGUUUCUUCUCUUUUUAUUUCAUAAAACCAUAGAUCUGCAAACACUCUGAUGACUCCCAACACUGAUCUUCAGGCCUGUACCCCACAGCCCUGCCUCCACCUACCGGCUCUCCAUUUGGUUCUCACUGGGGUUGCACAUGCAGAUGCCCCAAAUGAAACUCUUGGUUCUUCUACCUCUCAUCCUCCUCACU
rnacentral:lncRNA from 1 species